GACACUAAGUUCGGCAUCAAUAUGGUGACCUCCCGGGAGCGGGGGACCACCAGGUUGCCUAAGGAGGGGUGAACCGGCCCAGGUCGGAAACGGAGCAGGUCAAAACUCCCGUGCUGAUCAGUAGUGU
rnacentral:SRP_RNA from 1 species